rnacentral:rRNA from 1 species
UACAGAGGGGGCAAGCGUUGUUCGGAAUUACUGGGCGUAAAGGGCGCGUAGGCGGCAAAUUAAGUCAUCUGUGAAAUCUCCGAGCUUAACUCGGAACGGUCAGGUGAUACUGAUCUGCUAGAGUGCGGAAGGGGCAAUCGGAAUUCUUGGUGUAGCGGUGAAAUGCGUAGAUAUCAAGAGGAACACCUGAGGUGAAGACGGGUUGCUGGGCCGACACUGACGCUGACAGCGCGAAAGCCAGGGGAGCAAACGGG